rnacentral:rRNA from 1 species
AAUCUUCCGCAAUGGACGCAAGUCUGACGGAGCAACUCCGCGUGAGUGAUGAAGGUAUUCGGACCGUAAACCUCUGUUGUUAGGUAAGAACAUGUAUCGGAGUCACUGCCGGUACCUUCACGGUACCUGACGCCAAAGCCACGGCUAACUAAGUGCCUGCAACCGCGGUAAUACGUAGGUGGCAAGCGUUGUCCGGAUUUAUUGGGCGUAAAGCGCGCGGAGGCGGUCUUUAUAAGUCUGAUGUGAAAUCUUACGGCUUAACUGUAAGCGGUCAUUGGAAACUGGGAGACUUGAGUGCAGAAGAGGAGAGUGGAAUUCCAUGUGUAGCGGUGAAAUGCGUAGAGAUAUGGAGGAACACCAGUGGCGAAGGCGACUCUCUGGUCUGUAACUGACGCUGAGGCGCGAAAGCGUGGGGAUCAAACA